UACAGAGGUUCCAAGCGUUGUUCGGAUUCACUGGGCGUAAAGGGUGCGUAGGCGGUCGGGUAAGUCUGAUGUGAAAUCUCCGGGCCCAACCCGGAAACUGCAUUGGAUACUAUUCGGCUAGAGGUUUGGAGGGGGGACUGGAAUUCUCGGUGUAGCAGUGAAAUGCGUAGAUAUCGAGAGGAACACCCGUGGCGAAGGCAAGUCCCUGGACAACACCUGACGCUGAGGCACGAAAGCUAGGGGAGCAAACAGG
rnacentral:rRNA from 1 species